UACAGAGGUGGCAAGCGUUGUUCGGAAUUACUGGGCGUAAAGAGCGCGCAGGCGGUCGUUCAAGUCGCGUGUGAAAGCCCCCCGGCUCAACUGGGGAGGGUCACGCGAUACUGAUCGACUCGAAGGCAGGAGAGGGAAGUGGAAUUCCCGGUGUAGUGGUGAAAUGCGUAGAUAUCGGGAGGAACACCAGUGGCGAAGGCGACUUCCUGGCCUGUUCUUGACGCUGAGGCGCGAAAGCUAGGGGAGCAAACGGGG
rnacentral:rRNA from 1 species